GAUGAACGCUAGCGGCAGGCCUAACACAUGCAAGUCGAGGGGUAGAGGUUGCUUGCAACCUUGAGACCGGCGCACGGGUGCGUAACGCGUAUGCAAUCUGCCUUGUACUGAGGGAUAGCCCAGAGAAAUUUGGAUUAAUACCUCAUAGUAUCUUUUCCCGGCAUCGGGAGAUUAUUAAAGUUCCAACGGUACAAGAUGAGCAUGCGUCCCAUUAGCUAGUUGGUAUGGUGACGGCAUACCAAGGCAAUGAUGGGUAGGGGUCCUGAGAGGGAGAUCCCCCACACGGGUACUGAGACACGGACCAGACUCCUACGGGGGGCAGCAGUGAGGAAUAUUGGUCAAUGGGCGCAAGCCUGAACCAGCCAUGCCGCGUGCAGGAUGAAGCAUCUAUGGUGUGUAAACUGCUUUUAUACGGGAAGAAACACCGGUUCGUGAACCGGCUUGACGGUACCGUAAGAAUAAGGAUCGGCUAACUCCGUGCCAGCCGCCGCCGUAA
rnacentral:rRNA from 1 species